rnacentral:rRNA from 1 species
AACUCCUACGGGAGGCAGCAGUGGGGAAUAUUGCACAAUGGGGGAAACCCUGAUGCAGCCAUGCCGCGUGUGUGAAGAAGGCCUUCGGGUUGUAAAGCACUUUCAGUAGGGAGGAAGGUAGUGUAGUUAACACCUGCAUUAUUUGACGUUACCUACAGAAGAAGCACCGGCUAACUCCGUGCCAGCAGCCGCGGUAAUACGGAGGGUGCGAGCGUUAAUCGGAAUUACUGGGCGUAAAGCGCAUGCAGGCGGCCUAUUAAGUCAGAUGUGAAAGCCCGGGGCUUAACCUCGGAAUUGCAUUUGAAACUGGCAGGCUAGAGUCUUGUAGAGGGGGGUAGAAUUUCAGGUGUAGCGGUGAAAUGCGUAGAGAUCUGAAGGAAUACCAGUGGCGAAGGCGGCCCCCUGGACAAAGACUGACGCUCAGAUGCG